UAGCUUACGGGACGCAGCAGUGGGGAAUAUUGCACAAUGGGGGAAACCCUGAUGCAGCAACGCCGCGUGAGUGAAGAAGUAUUUCGGUAUGUAAAGCUCUAUCAGCAGGGAAGAAAAUGACGGUACCUGAGUAAGAAGCCCCGGCUAACUACGUGCCAGCAGCCGCGGUAAUACGUAUGGUGCAAGCGUUAUCCGGAUUUACUGGGUGUAAAGGGAGCGCAGGCGGUGCGGCAAGUCUGAUGUGAAAGCCCGGGGCUCAACCCCGGGACUGCAUUGGAAACUACCGAACU
rnacentral:rRNA from 1 species